rnacentral:tRNA from 1 species
GGCUUCGUAGCUUGGAGGAAAGAAGCGCCCGUUUAUCAAAAUGGGAGUCGUAGGUUCGAUUCCCAUCAGAGCUA